rnacentral:lncRNA from 1 species
UUUCCUCCUUUUCUUUUGAGGUGCCCUUUCGGGUUUUCACCUAAGGAACAAUGGAAAAAUUCAACCAUAAUCGACUCAGGAGUAUGAACUGAAGAUUGCUGACAUCAGUGAAAUGCGCUUCCUUUGUAAGAUUAGGCGAAGACAUUAUGGACGUCACUUGUCAGUUGAUUAGCGAAUUUUCCAAUAGAAAAUACGGCAAAUGACGAAAGCCAGGACUUUGGGCUUUUGAAAUGAAGUCAGGUGAGGUGUUUUUCAAGAAAAGUUGAGGCUUGAAAGCAAAUUUUGAUGAGAGGGGUGUGAAAUAGCCCGAGAUUGCAUCAUUUUGAAAUUAUUUCCAAUUUUGAACGAAACUGAGGAAAAUUUGCCCCAGUUUGAUUGAACUCUUCUCU